rnacentral:rRNA from 1 species
UACGGAGGGGGCGAGCGUUAUUCGGAAUUAUUGGGCGUAAAGGGCGCGUAGGCGGCUUGAUAAGUCAAAGGUGAAAUCCCUCGGCUCAACUGAGGAACUGCCUUUGAAACUGUCAGACUUGAGGCCGGGAGGGGGUAGCGGAAUUCCCAGUGUAGCGGUGAAAUGCGUAGAUACUGGGAGGAACACCGGUGGCGAAGGCGGCUACCUGGACCGGUUCUGACGCUGAUGCGCGAAAGCGUGGGUAGCAAACAGG